UACAGAGGGGGCUAGCGUUAUUCGGAAUUAUUGGGCGUAAAGGGCGCGUAGGCGGCCAUGCGUGUCUUCCGUGAAAUCCCUCGGCUUAACUGAGGACGUGCGGAAGAAACUGCAAGGCUCGAGUCCGGGAGGGGCUGGUGGAAUUCCCUGUGUAGCGGUGAAAUGCGUAGAGAUGGGGGAGAACACUCGUGGCGAAGGCGGCCAGCUAGACCAGUUCUGACACUGAGGCGCGACAGCGUGGGGAGCAAACAGG
rnacentral:rRNA from 1 species